GAUGAACGCUAGCGGCAGGCUUAAUACAUGCAAGUCGAGGGGUAGCAAGAUUGUAGCAAUACAAUUGUUGACGACCGGCAAACGGGUGCGGAACACGCACACAACCUUCCUACAGGUGGGGAAUAGCCCAGAGAAAUUUGGAUUAAUACCCCGUAACAUAGCGAUGUGGCAUCACAUUGCUAUUAUAGCUUCGGCGCUUGUUGAUGGGUGUGCGGCUGAUUAGAUAGUUGGCGGGGUAACGGCCCACCAAGUCUACGAUCAGUAGCUGAUGUGAGAGCAUGAUCAGCCACACGGGCACUGCGACACGGGCCCGACUCCUACGGGAGGCAGCAGUAAGGAAUAUUGGACAAUGGACGCAAGUCUGAUCCAGCCAUGCCGCGUGAAGGAUUAAGGUCCUCUGGAUUGUAAACUUCUUUUAUAAGGGACGAAAAAAGGUCUUUCUAGAUCGUCUGACGGUACCUUAUGAAUAAGCACCGGCUAACUCCGUGCCAGCCGCCGCAGUAAAAC
rnacentral:rRNA from 1 species